UAGUGAGUUUGAUCCUGGCUCAGAACGAACGCUGGCGGCAGGCUUAACACAUGCAAGUCGAACGCAUCCUUCGGGGUGAGUGGCAGACGGGUGAGUAACGCGUGGGAACGUGCCCUUCAGUUCGGGAUAACCCAGGGAAACUUGGGCUAAUACCGGAUACGUGCGAGAGCAGAAAGAUUUAUCGCUGAAGGAUCGGCCCGCGUCUGAUUAGCUGGUUGGUGAGGUAAAGGCUCACCAAGGCAUCGAUCAGUAGCUGGUCUGAGAGGACGAUCAGCCACACUGGGACUGAGACACGGCCCAGACU
rnacentral:rRNA from 2 species